rnacentral:rRNA from 1 species
GAGGAAUAAGCAUCGGCUAACUCCGUGCCAGCAGCCGCGGUAAUACGGGGGAUGCAAGCGUUAUCCGGAAUCAUUGGGCGUAAAGCGCCUGUAGGUUGUUUAUUAAGUCUGUUGUUAAAGACUAGGGCUUAACCCUAGAAAAGCAAUGGAAACUAAUAGACUCGAGUAUGGCAGGGGUAGAGGGAAUUUCUAGUGUAGCGGUGAAAUGCGUAGAUAUUAGAAAGAACACCGGUGGCGAAAGCGCUCUACUGGACCAUUACUGACACUCAGAGGCGAAAGCUAGGGUAGCAAAAGGGAUUAGAUACCCCUGUAGUCCUAGCCGUAAACGAUGGAUACUAGAUGUUGUGCAUUAAGUACAGUAUCGUAGCUAACGCGUUAAGUAUCCCGCCUGGGGAGUACGCUCGCAAGGGUGAAACUCAAAGGAAUUGACGGGGGCCCGCACAAGCGGUGGAGCAUGUGGUUUAAUUCGAUGCAACGCGAAGAACCUUACCAGGGCUUGACAUACUACGAAUUCUUUUGAAAAAGAGAAGUGCCUUCGGGAAUGUAGAUACAGGUGGUGCAUGGCUGUCGUCAGCUCGUGUCGUGAGAUGUUGGGUUAAGUCCCGCAACGAGCGCAACCCUUAUUUUUAGUUACCAAUUCGUUGGGUUCUCUAGAAAGACUGCCGGUGACAAACCGGAGGAAGGUGAGGAUGACGUCAAGUCAGCAUGCCCCUUAUGUCCUGGGCUACACACGUGCUACAAUGGUUAAGACAAAGAGUCGCGAGCUUGUGAAAGUCAGCUAAUCUCAUAAACUUAGCCUAAGUUCAGAUUGUAGGCUGCAAC